rnacentral:rRNA from 1 species
GAGUUUGAUCUUGGCUCAGAACGAACGCUGGCGGCAUGCCUAACACAUGCAAGUCGAACGGGAUCCAGGCUUCGGCCUGGUGAGAGUGGCGGACGGGUGAGUAACGCGUGGGAACCUGCCCAAUGGUCUGGGAUAACCGCGGGAAACUGCGGCUAAUACCGGAUAAGCCCGAGAGGGGAAAGAUUUAUCGCCGAUGGAGGGGCCCGCGUCCGAUUAGGUAGUUGGUGAGGUAAUGGCUCGCCAAGGCGACGAUCGGUAGCUGUUCUGAGAGGAAGAUCAGCCACACUGGGACUGAGACACGGCCCAGACUCCUACGGGAGGCAGCAGUUGGGAAUCUUGGACAAUGGGGGAAACCCUGAUCCAGCCAUGCCGCGUGAGUGAUGAAGGCCUUCGGGUUGUAAACU